rfam:Pasteurellaceae bacterium NI1060 genome.
CGCGGGGUGGAGCAGCUUGGUAGCUCGUCGGGCUCAUAACCCGAAGGCCGUCGGUUCAAAUCCGGCCCCCGCAA